GUACACGCUGUGACUAGCAUAUCAAUAAGCGGAGGAAAAGAAACUAACAAGGAUUCCCCUAGUAACGGCGAGUGAAGCGGGAAGAGCUCAAAUUUGAAAUCUUAAAGGGUUUCCCUUUACGAAUUGUAGUUUAAAGAAGUGUUUUCUGUUGAGGUUUUCGGUAAAAGUUCUUUGGAAUAGGACAUCAUAGAGGGUGAGAAUCCCGUAUUUGACCUUUACUUUCAACUUUGUGAUACACUUUCAAAGAGUCGGAUUGUUUGGGAAUGCAGUCCAAAAUGGGUGGUAAAUUUCAUCUAAAGCUAAAUAUUGGCGAGAGACCGAUAGCGAACAAGUACCGUGAGGGAAAGAUGAAAAGAACUUUGAAAAGAGAGUUAAACAGUACGUGAAAUUGUCAAAAGGGAAGCGUUUGACACCAGUGUUGCUUUUUCUGAAAAUCAAUUAAAGAACUGUUUAUGCUAAGUUGUUUAGACUUUAUCAGCUAAUCUGUUUAGUUUUGAGCUUUUCUUUAAUGCACUUUUCAGUUAACAAGUCAACAUCAAUUUCUUUUGCUGUAAAAAAGCUUGAGGAAGGUGGCUUGAGAUUCGUCUUAAGUGUUUAUAGCCUCUUGCCUAUGCAGUCGGAGAGAUUGAGGUCUGCAGCGUAGAUCCUUCGGGGCUAAAUGCAUUUGUGCUAAGUUAUAGCAUUUUAUAGACAACUUGUUGACUAUGAUUUGUCUUGUAGCUUACUCGCUUAUGUUAUUUUACCUACGCUUAGGAUGUUGAAGUCAUCGUAUCGCGC
rnacentral:rRNA from 1 species